GCCUGGAUGGCUCAAUGGUUGAGCGUCUGCCUUUGGCUCAGGUCAUGAUCCUGGGGUUGUGGGAUCAAGUCCUACACCAGGCU
rfam:Canis lupus familiaris chromosome X, whole genome shotgun sequence.